rnacentral:rRNA from 1 species
AUUGAACGCUGGCGGCAGGCCUAACACAUGCAAGUCGAGCGGAGCGGCGGACGGGUGAGUAAUGCCUAGGAAUCUGCCUGGUAGUGGGGGAUAACGUCCGGAAACGGGCGCUAAUACCGCAUACUAUCAGAUGAGCCUAGGUCGGAUUAGCUAGUUGGUGGGGUAAAGGCCUACCAAGGCGACGAUCCGUAACUGGUCUGAGAGGAGGAUCAGUCAAACUGGAACUGACACACGUGCCAGACUUCUACGGGAGGGAGAAGGGGUGAAGAUUGUAAAAGUGGCUAAAGCCGGAGUCAGAUAUGCGGCGUGUGUGAAGAAGGGGUUCGGAUGGUAAAGAAAUUUAAGGUGGGAGGAGUUACCAACAGAAUCAGCAACGGCUCAGUUUGGGCCAGCAGCCGCGGUAAUAU